rnacentral:lncRNA from 1 species
GGCAACGGAAGAUUUGUUUAGGUAAAGUCGUCUUGUUUGUAUAAAGUCAUUACGGACGAUGAGGUGAUGCUUUCACUGUGGUGUGUCAUUUAGAAAGAAAUGGGGUCAUUAGUUAUCCAAUGUACUUGAAUGGAGUAUGAUCGCAAAUAUGUCAUCUGUUCUCCAUGCAUCUAAUAGUAAGCAAAAGUCUACAUCUGGAAAAUUUAACCUUGAAAUGGUUAAUAAUGAAAACAGCCAGAAGAAAACUGGCUUAACUGCUGAAAAUGCGUGAGGCGGUGGCGACGAUCCAUUUCAGAGUGUCUGGUGCCAUGACUGCACUUCGUUCUCCCGGCGCUGGUCCUUACGGGGUUAAGAUGCUGUAGUGUUUAUAUUAGGCUUAUAUUUAAAUAUGUCUGCUGUAAAGACUAAUUGCUAUUUUGACAUUAUUUACAAUAAAUGGAAUAAUCUAGAAACUUUUUCAAGUGGCUGGAAUUUAAUAUCUGCUUGAUUGGCUGCAAAAAUUCAUCUGAAAGUAAACAUGGCUAUCUGCGAUUUUCAUUAAAACUCAUACUGGCUUUCUAAUUUUCAAAUUUACUUGGGUUUUGCCAAAGUGAAGGAAACUAAGCACAUGCUGCAUUCUGUUACUGUUGAUUUUGUGGAGUUUCUUCCCAUAUUAUUAAGUGUUGGUAAAUUGCUUUUUUACCACACAUUUGUAUAUUCUUUACAUUAUCUCAGUUUGCUAACCUUUUUUCACACUGUUAUAUUUUUUUAAGUAUUUGUUUUCCUUUGCUGUGUAAUACUUAUUUUUCUUAUAGCAGGUAUACUUAGUACCAAGAUAAAAGACAAGCUCAAGUUCACAAUUUAGGAGGAUGUGACUGAUUUUAAGUUUCGUAUUUUAACUUCAAUUUUUUUUUACUAUUUACUCAUUUUCCCUUCAUUUUUCUGUUACAGCAUCAUUGUAUACAUUGAUUUCAUGUAAAUAAAAAUAUCAAUAACUAAAAAUUAAGAGAUGUUUUUAUUUUGUUUCAUUAGUUAUUUUGUGUUUUAUUCUUAUAUUUCUUUUAAUUUUAAAAUUUAUUUAGUUAUUGGAAUUGCGAAAAGUAUUUUAGUUCAAAUUCUUUUUCAUUUUUCAAAAGCUCUUUUUUUUAAUAUAAUUAUUUUAUUUUCACUUAAUAUGGAUAUUUUUUGGUUUAGCUUAAAAAUACCAUAAAUUUUCCAUAGAAUGUAUAUUCUGAUUUGGUUUUGUUUCCCCUAAAAUUUACACAGUUGUUUCGAAAGUAAUUGCAGAUUUGAUUUUUUUAACCUCGUAUCCAUUAAAAAAAUUUUUUUUUAAUCAUUAUAUACUCAAUCAGAAGAAACUAUAAGUAAGUGUUAUAAUAGAAAUAUCGAAGCAAUUUUUUAAUUUUUUUUAUUCCUUCUGCCUUAAUGAAAUAUAAGGAUAACUUCAAAAAUGCAUUCAGUGCAUGAAAAUUGACUAUUUAAAUACAUACUAUAAAAAUUCAUUUGCAGGUAUUAAUGUUGAUGUAUUUUUUAUGACAACUAGUAAAAGUAAACAUGGUAACUAAUGUUAAGGUUAAAUCAGUUGCUAUAUGUUUGCUUUUAACUCGGGUAUGAUUCUAAAGUGUAUUUUAGUUUAAUAAAUAAUAAAGUUGUUUUAAGAUUAAAUAAAGGAUAUUUCCAUAACCUUGCAUACUCUACUGUGGAAAUUCUACUGUGGGUCUUAAUUUUUGUGUUUUUCUUCAUGGCAACUAACAGAAGCAGUGGUAAAGUUUGAAAUUUGAAUCAGUUGCUAUAUAUUUGAUGCUAUCUCAGCUGUGAUUGUAAAAUGCCUUAAUGUAAUAAAUAAUAAGGUCAUGUUACUUUUAGAAUAAAGAAAUGUUGUGGAAAUAAUAUUGAA